UACGUAGGGUGCAAGCGUUAAUCGGAAUUACUGGGCGUAAAGCGUGCGCAGGCGGUGAUGUAAGACAGUUGUGAAAUCCCCGGGCUCAACCUGGGAACUGCAUCUGUGACUGCAUCGCUGGAGUGCGGCAGAGGGGGAUGGAAUUCCGCGUGUAGCAGGUGAAAUGCGUAGAUAUGCGGAGGAACACCGAUGGCGAAGGCAAUCCCCUGGGCCUGCACUGGACGCUCAUGCACGAAAGCGUGGGGAGCAAACAGGA
rnacentral:rRNA from 1 species